UACGUAGGUCCCGAGCGUUGUCCGGAUUUAUUGGGCGUAAAGCGAGCACAGGUGGUUUAUUAAAUCUGGUGUAAAAGGCAGUGGCUCAACCAUUGUAUGCAUUGAAAACUGGUAGACUUGGGUGCAGGAGAGGAGAGUGGAAUUCCAUGUGUAGCGGUGAAAUGCGUAGAUAUAUGGAGGAACACCGGUGGCGAAAGCGGCUCUCUGGCCUGUAACUGACACUGAGGCUCGAAAGCGUGAGGAGCAAACAGG
rnacentral:rRNA from 1 species